UCAACGUCAGUGACCAGUGAUAACCUAAGUCGACGUGACAUGCUGGCCUGGAUCAAUGAGUCUCUGCAGUUGGAUCUGACAAAGACCGAACAGCUGUGCUCAGGGGCUGCCUAUUGUCAGUUUAUGGACUUGCUCUUCCCUGGCUCCAUUGCCUUGAAGAAAGUGAAAUUCCAAGCAAAGCUAGAACACGAGUAUAUCCAGAACUUCAAAAGACUACAAGCGGGUUUUAAGAUGAUGGGUGUUGACAGAAUAACUCCUCUUGACAAAUUAGAAAAAGUUUCAGGACAACUUUGAAUUUGUUCAGUGGUUCAACAGGUUUUCGGAUGCAAACUAUGAUGGAAAAGACUAUGACCCUGUGGCUGCCAGACAAGGUCAAGAAAUUGCAGUGCCUCCCUCCCUCAGUGCUCCCGCUCUGAAUAAACCGAAGAAUCCUCUCAGUUCCCACAGUGCAGCUCCCCAGAGGCCCAUCUCAACACAGAGCUGCUGCGGCUCCUAAGGCUGGCCCUGGCGUGGUAUGAAAGAACCCUCAUGUGGGCAAUGGGGAUGACGAGGCAGCUGAGUUGAUGCAGCAGCUCAACGUAUUGAAAUUUAGUGUUGAAGACUUGGAGAAAGAGGGAUUUCUACUUUGGAAAGCUAUGGAACAUUGAAUUGAUGUGCCAGGAGAAUGAGGGGGAAAAUGACCCUGUAUUGCAGAGGAUUGCAGACAUUCUGUAUGCCACAGAUGCAGGCUUUGUGAUACCUGAUGAAAGGGGCCGAUAUGAGGAGCAAGAGUAUUAACAGCCUGGACCAGCAGAGCAACUUCUGAAUUCUUCACUGCAAAUCAUGUGCUUAACUGUAAAAUACUCCCUUUUAUUAUACUUAGAGGAUUCACUGAUUUCUUUUCAUAAGCAAAAAGUACCUCUUCUUAGAGUGUACUUUGCAGACGUUUCACUCCUUUUCCAACAAGUUUGACUUAGGAGCUUUCACUUUGUAGCAGAGCAGUAUCAACAUCUAGUUGGUUCACCUGGUAAACAAACAGGAUGACCGUGGGGCUCACUGUGCCGAUAUGAGUCACACUGAGUGCUGGGGGAGGUGUUACGUUAUAUGCUGAGGUGGCGACCUCAGUGGAGAAAUGUAAAGACUGAAUUGAAUUUUAAGCUAAUGUGAAAUCAGAGAAUGUUGCAACAAAUAAAUGCCUUAAGAGUAUUUAAAAUAUACUUCCAUAUUUCAAAAUAUAAAAUGUAACAUGACA